AAUUUUGCGCAAUGGACGAAAGUCUGACGCAGCAACGCCGCGUGAGGGAUGACGGCCUUCGGGUUGUAAACCUCUUUUCUCAGGGAAGAUGAUGACGGUACCUGAGGAAUAAGCCACGGCUAACUACGUGCCAGCAGCCGCGGUAAAGCGUAGGACGCAAGCGUUAUCCGGAGUUACUGGGCGUAAAGCGCGGGCAGGCGGCCUCGCAAGUCUGGUGUGAAAUCUCUCAGCUCAACUGGGAGCAGCCACUGGAAACUACAAGGCUGGAGUCUGGCAGAGGUAGGCGGAAUUCCGGGUGGAGUGGUGAAAUGCGUAGAGAUCCGGAGGAACACCAGAGGCGAAGGCGGCCUACUGGGCCAGUACUGACGCUGAGCCGCGAAAGCCAGGGGAGCGAAC
rnacentral:rRNA from 1 species